rnacentral:rRNA from 1 species
AUUGAACGCUGGCGGCAGGCCUCACACAUGCAAGUCGCGCGAGCGGCGGACGGGUGAGUAAUGUAUGGGGACUGCCCGAUAUAGGGGGAUAAAUACUGGAAACGGUGGAUAAUACCGCAUAAUAUCGGAUAACCAAUAUGGGAUUAGCUCGUAGGUGGGGUAAAGGCUCACCUAGGCGACGAUUCCUAGCUGGCCUGAGAGGAUGAUAGUCCACACGGGGACUGAGACACGGCCCAGACUCCUACGGAGGCAGCAGUGGUGAAGAUUGCACAAUGGGCGCAAGCCUGAUGUAGCCAUGCCGCGUGUAUGAAGAAGGCCUUAGGGUUGUAAAGUACUUUCAGCUGGGAGGCGUUACCCGCAGAAGAAGCACCGGCUAACUCCGUGCCAGCAGCCGCGGUAAUUC